rnacentral:lncRNA from 1 species
AUUCAGUCCAAUUUAAUGCUAAUCACACAGUGAUCACACAGAUAAAUACUUCAAAAGAUCUGAGAAAGUUUCCAAAUCAGCUCUCUGGUUCAAACGGAUCCUGCUUUAAUCCUGCUAGAUAAGCUAUGGAUUCUAACAACAGCAAAGGAGGAUGUAGCUAUUGCAAGGCCAACUGCAAUAAUAACUGCACAUGCAAGUGUCAUAAAAAUAUCCCCAAAACUACACUUCAAGCGACAGCUAUACGGGUGGCUCAAGUGGCAGCUAGAGGGGUGGCUCAAGUGGUUGCUAAAGAGACUAUGGAACCUGAUCAUACUCCCCUUGAAGUAGAAGAUCCUGACUGCUGUGAUGAUGGAUGUUUUUGUGGAAUAUGGAGCUGUAUUGUGGAAGCAUUUUCUUGCUGUCUUGAGUAAACAGGUUUCUGAAGAUGAUGCAGUCAUUCAACAUCCUCCAACACAACCAACAGCACUACAAACUACAAUCAACAUCAGGAUCUUCUUCUUCUUCUUCUUCCAUGUAGUCUUGAGUAAACAGGUUUCUGAAGAUGAUGCAGUCAUUCAACAUCCUCCAACACAACCAACAGCACUACAAACUACAAUCAACAUCAGGACAUCUUUAGUCUCAUUAUGAAACGAUUGUUAAACAUCAUAAAGCAAGUGAAUUCUGUACAUAAAUACAGUUCCAGCCAGAAGAUCAAAAUGAACUAAAUAUCAAGUCAAUGAAAAUAAAUUAUUUCCAUAGAUUAUUGAUUUACAAAUGAAGAUUUAAGGGGUAGGAGUAUAUAAGUUUUACUUCUUCCUACUCUGUUUUGUACAUGUAAAUCGUUUUCUUUUUUGUUUUUUGUUUUGUUUUGUAUUUUAAUUGUAUUUACAUGUUCAAAAUAAAGAAAGAAAGAAAGAACGAACGAAAGAAAAUGACCAUCUAUCUAUCUAUCUAUCUAUCUAUCUAUCUAUCUAUCUAUCUAUCUAUCUCAGAGUUUAAUUUUGAAUAGCUGCCUAGGGCUAUGCAACAUAUGAUCAAUGUGUAGACACAAUUAAUUUGUCUAACUUCUUUGGUGGUGAAAUAAUAAAGACAGGUCAAAAACCUGUUGAGGAAGAUAUUCAACAUGUCUGUCAAGUCAUCCCAGUCUGUGAACGUCCCUUAAACGUCCCUUUUCAUAGUUUCUGUA